rfam:Streptomyces sp. WAC00263 NODE_355_length_584_cov_3.986301, whole genome shotgun sequence.
GAAGGUAGGCCCUUCGGAGUCGUCCUGCGGGGGAAGGCUCCAAACCACCUCAUGCUGCGUUGGGUUGAAGACCGUCGUGGUGAGCGAUGAGGAAAAGGCGCCCAAGAGGUGUCAGGU